rnacentral:rRNA from 1 species
UACGGGGGGAGCAAACGUUGUUCGGAAUUACUGGGCGUAAAGCGCGUGUAGGCGGCCCUGCAAGUCGGAUGUGAAAUCCCACGGCUCAACCGUGGAAGUGCAUUCGAAACUGCAGGGCUAGAGUCCUGGAGAGGAAGGUGGAAUGCUUGGUGUAGAGGUGAAAUUCGUAGAUAUCAAGCGGAACACCGGUGGCGAAGGCGGCCUUCUGGACAGUGACUGACGGCUGAGACGCGAAAAGCGUGGGGGAGCAAACAGG